rnacentral:rRNA from 1 species
UACAGAGGUCUCGAGCGUUGUUCGGAUUCAUUGGGCGUAAAGGGCGCGUAGGCGGCGGGGUAAGUCUGGUGUGAAAUCUCGGAGCUCAACUCCGAAAUUGCACUGGAUACUGCUCUGCUAGAGGGCUGGAGAGGAGAUCGGAAUUCACGGUGUAGCAGUGAAAUGCGCAGAUAUCGGGAGGAACACCAAUGGCGAAGGCAGCUUGCUGGGACGGUACUGACGCUGAGGCGCGAAAGCGUGGGGAGCAAACAGG